AUUAUUCUUCCAUCUUUUAAACCACAAACCAAGAAAGGCAUUAAUAGUCAUAGUCAGUCCGGCGCUUGCCCAGUCAGGAUUGAUCUUGAGCUGAGCUCCCGGAGAGGGAGACCCCUUUGAAGAAUCAAGAAUCAGGAUUCAGGACUGAGGAAUAAAUUCUGUAUUUAUUUGCAUCCUUUAAUUUAACAUAAACUGACAACUUAGAAGAAACUGUAAGUCACUCUUACUUUUCUGAACUCAGAAAUAGUGGUGAUGAGCAGACGAG
rnacentral:lncRNA from 1 species